AGCACGGUGUCAUCUGGCUUUGGAUCCUGUCAUUGUCUUCAACCGGAGCUGAUCACCUCAGUUUCGCAGUCGGCGCCUGGAAGAUGCUGUACGCUCUCCACAGCUGUAGGUUAAUUUAUUAAAUGCGUGUAAUCACGUCAAUUUAAAUUAGAUUAGUUGUUUCAGUGAAAUAAAUUGUUUUGCCAUCUUUAAUUGACAAGUGUUCGCCUCUUAAACGCAGUGCAGAAUGUCCCUUUAUGCACACCAUAGUUGAUAUGAGCAACAAGGGGGAAGAAGAAAAACAUGAACAAGUUUUUUUUUUCUUCACAGUCUAUAUUCAUUUAAUUUUUUUAUGGAAGUUUAUGUUAGACUGGAUAACUGGAAAUGGGCCAGAGGGUUUUACCUGCAUAUACCCACUGAAGAAAAUGGCGUUUAGCCUGGACGGCCCUCACAGAAAAGGAUUCGGGAACUGUAUACAAAAUCCUCCACCCUGUUCAGGUUAAAUUCUUCCUGGCUAAAGAAAUCCAUCUAGCUUUCAGCACCUUCUAGUAGUGAAACUAUUCCCUACACAUUUGGCCUGCUAACCAGCGGGCUAUGUUGGUAAGGGUUUCUGCAGUGUGUUUGUGUGGUGUUUUGUAUGUGCUGUAAAAUGGGUACAUUUCCAGGGACAAGACACCAAAAACUGGGACUGUCCCCGAAAACCAAGCUGUUUGUUCACCCUAUGUUAGUGAGCCCAUCAGCCAGAGGAUGCUCAUCCUGUGGUCUGUGUGGGUUCUGCACUAAAUGCACACUUUGUGGUUAGUAAAAACCUCAGGGUUAUUUUCAGAAAGUCUAGGGGUGUAAGCUUUUGUUUCUUGCCAAAAUGAUGAAUAUUUUGGUGCACUUGUUGUAGCUGUUGUCAGAUACAGGCUAUUGGUUGCAGGACUUUCCAGAGUGUGAAUAUUUGAAGAUGUGGUGUCUGAGUUUGAGUUGUAUUGUUGUUCUCUUUCAUCCAUGGAAUGCUUCUUCCAUGCUGAAGAUCUCCUCUGGACGCCAAAGUAGUGCAUCGCAAAUCGCACACUUACAGACACUGAAAAGACUGAAGACAGCAUCACAAAAUAAAUAGAGCAGUCCACAUUUCACAUUGUUUACAUUUCAAAUGCACAGUCACUCUGAAUUGUAACACAUAGUAAGGGUUUUUGUACAGUGUAUGUGUGUUUCCUGUUACUGUGGGCCUCAAAGCACAAUAAUACAUAGCGGAAUCCGUAACUGCUGCAGAGGAGAUUUCCAGAUGAACACGUUUCUGUAUUUUAUCAAGUUUGAUUGACAAAUGUGGGUAAGGUGGUUUGGCUUUUGUCUCAUAUUGAGAAGAUUCAUCAAUCAUUAUUAAAAACUCUGGUCUUGAGCCAGGUUUUUGUUGGUACCAGUACAAACUGUCUAUUGAGCCUUCAUAUAUGCAUGACAGUGUAAUGUUUGUAUCCUCCAUUAAUACUGUGGUGUUUUUGUCUGGUCUGAUUCCAUACCCAGUAGUUUUGCCUGUAAAGAUAUACAUAUUUAGCACAUAAUACUACUUAGUAUUAGAAUAAAAAACAGAAAGUAGUUUAAUUUUACCCUAAAACAACAACCAAUUAAAGAUAAUUUCUUACCAAAGUGAUUGAAAAGUAUGAACAGACAGAGCAACAACAUCGCUUUU